UACGUAGGGGGCGAGCGUUGUCCGGAAUUAUUGGGCGUAAAGAGCUCGUAGGCGGUUAUGGAAGUCGGGUGUGAAAUACCGGGGCUCAACUCCGGGGCGCCAUUCGAUACUCCAUUGACUAGAGUCCGGUAGGGGAAGGUGGAAUUCCUGGUGUAGCGGUGAAAUGCACAGAUAUCAGGAGGAACACCGGUGGCGAAGGCGGCCUUCUGGGCCGGUACUGACGCUGAGGAGCGAAAGCUAGGGGAGCGAA
rnacentral:rRNA from 1 species